rnacentral:rRNA from 1 species
AACGAACGCUGGCGGCAUGCCUAACACAUGCAAGUCGAACGAGACCUUCGGGUCUAGUGGCGCACGGGUUCGUAACGCGUGGUAACCUUCCCUUAGGUUCGGAAUAACUCCCCGAAAGGGGUGCUAAUACCGGAUAAUGUCUUCGGACCAAAGAUUUAUCGCCUUUUGUUGGGCCCGCGUUUGAUUAGCUAUUUGGUAGGGUAAAAGCCUACCAAGGCGACGAUCCAUAGCUGGUCUGAGAGGAUGAUCAGCCACACUGGGACUGAGACACGGCCCAGACUCCUACGGGAAGAAGCAGUGGGGAAUAUUGGACAAUGGGCGAAAGCAUGAUACAGCAAUGACGCGUGAGUGAUGAAGGCAUUAGGGUUGUAAAGCUCUUUUAACCGGGAUGAUAAUGACAGUACCGGGAGAAUAAGCUCCGGCUAACUCCGUG